UACCAGCACCCCGAGUGGUCGGACGAUUAUUGGGCCUAAAGCAUCCGUAGCCGGUCAUGCAAGUCCUCCGUUAAAUCCACCUGCUUAACAGAUGGGCUGCGGAGGAUACUACAAGGCUAGGAGGCGGAAGAGGCAAGCGGUACUCGAGUGGGUAGGGGUAAAAUCCUCUGAUCCAUUGAAGACCACCAGUGGCGAAGGCGGCUUGCCAAUACGCGCUCGACGGUGAGGGAUGAAAGCUGGGGGAGCAAACCGG
rnacentral:rRNA from 1 species